AACUCAAGAACUCCAAGAUGUUUUUAUUGAUUUCAAUUUCCAAUAAAAUGAAUAUGUCUUAUCUAAAUAUUUUUGUCACACAACUGGAACAUUGAAUUAUUUUUUUCAGAAAUAGAGUUAAAUACAUCAAUCUAGUUACAAAUUCUAAUAUAAAGAGUACAAAAUAUAAUGUUAUAAAUUGUAUUUUAAAAAAAGAAAUACAAAUUCUGUGGUCUUUUGCAUUUUACUGCCUCAAAGCAUAAUUAGCAAAGUUGAAGAAUGAACAUUUUCCCUCGGUCAUUCCACAAAGACACGCUUACGGGGCACCUGAACCAUCGCCUGAGGUCCCCGCCUGUCGUUUUCCUCUCUUCC
rnacentral:lncRNA from 1 species